AACGAACGCUGGCGGCAGGCUUAACACAUGCAAGUCGAGCGCCCCGCAAGGGGAGCGGCAGACGGGUGAGUAACGCGUGGGAACGUACCCUUUGCUACGGAAUAGCUCCGGGAAACUGGAAUUAAUACCGUAUGUGCCCUACGGGGGAAAGAUUUAUCGGCAAAGGAUCGGCCCGCGUUGGAUUAGUUAGUUGGUGGGGUAAUGGCCGACCAAGGCGACGAUCCAUAGCUGGUCUGAGAGGAUGAUCAGCCACAUUGGGACUGGGACACGGCCCAAACUGCUACGGGAGGCAGCAGUGGGGAAUAUUGGACAAUGGGCGCAAGCCUGUUCCAGCCAUGCCGCGUGAGUGAUGAAGGCCUUAGGGUUGUAAAGCUCUUUCACCGGAGAAGAUAAUGACGGUAUCCGGAGAAGAAGCCCCGGCUAACUUCGUGCCAGCAGCCGCGGUAAAAC
rnacentral:rRNA from 1 species